rnacentral:lncRNA from 10 species
AGAUGGCGGUAUGAGAGAGGUGGGGGGUUGAAGAGGAGAGGAGUGCUGGUGGGGGAUGGGGGCGUGGAUGGUUUGGGAGUGCAAAUGAGCCUGGGCGGGCUUCCCUCCGCCAGUCUCAAGCUGCGAGUCAGACGCAGAAGCUCGCUUGUCUCUAACCCCCAGUGCGCAAGUCAGUGGCAUCACAUCCGGGCAGCUGGGGCUUUCCUUGGUUGAAAGCGGGGGCGGAACCGGGGAUCCUGCCUGGAUGGGGAGCCUGCGCCUGCUUCCCUCCGUGGAUCUCGAGUUGCUGGUCAGACCAAUGCGCAAGUCAGGGAUGUCACAUCCGGGCCACCUGGGUUGACAGCAGGGGUGGAACCGGAUUCGGCCAGAGUUGGUUUCAGGUUGUAAUUAGCAGAUCUCCGGAACCAUACUGCCUUAACCAACCCAAUUUUCCUGCUGUCCUGCUAUUACCCUAGGGUUACUGGAAUCGUGUUUUGAGGUGCUGCCUCAGAUUGUGCAGUGCAGUGAGGUGGAGAUUUUAAAAUGUUCAUCCUAUUCAUUCUGUCAUCUGACGUCUAGGCAGGCUAUAGACUUCAACAUCCCUGCAGCCAACCCCCCUCCAACUGACACCGCCCCAAACAUAAGUACCAGUUCAACACAGUCCUCAGUCUCACCCAGGACUUUCUGUGUUUUGUUGCUUAGAUUUUAUUGCUUAUAUUGUUGUUUUUUCUUUCUUUCUUUUUCUCUUCUAUAAUUUUCCAGAGUUGAUUUGGGAACCAGAGAACAGCAGCCUAAGUGUGACUGUAAUUUUUGGCAGCUACAGGGAAGCCUCACACAUAUAGAAUAAUAGAGAGACUAACAUAAUGAACCCAGCAUACCUGACGCUCAGCAUCAACAACCUUAAAUACACGGCAAAUCUGGUUCCAGUUAGACACUCACCUACCUGCAUCUCAGCUGCUGGAAUAAUGUGGAUCAAAUCAAAGACAGCAUACCAUUUCAUCUCUAAAUAAUUCAAUAUUCAUUUUUAAAAGACAAGGACAUUGUACCCAGCUGUACCCCUCGCAGAGAAUGGCUGCAGGUACCAGGCGAGGUGUUCCCUGGGUGGCUGCAGCACCCGUGAUUGUAGUCACCUCUGGGUCACAAUCACUACAAAUAAAAACCCAAUACAAUUCUCAUUUCUAAAAAAUAAAUAAGCUACACAAUCCAUGGCAUUUUGUUAUGGAAGUCAAAGCUAACUAAGACAUAACCCCAGAUUCCCAAGACAACUAGGAAGGGAAAAGGAACCCUUCAAGGAAGUUCCAGGAAAAACGUCUCUCCCAAAAAGACCACCGCUUCAGGAAAACCUGAGGAAGGGAGUGGGCCAACAGUAUCCUGCCACUGUGACCAGCUGAACGAGGAACUCCAUCAAAAUGAGCCACAGCUGGACCAAAACAGUGAGGAGACCUCCACCUUCUUCAGUGUCUCCCUGAGCAGUCAGUAAUUUCAGGGCAAGCUGAGAGGUCUCCAGAGGUCUAACCCCAGAUAAAUAGCCAACAGGGUCUAGAGUACAUUUUAUACCCAACAGGGUAUACCCCAUGGUGAUCAAAAUAAAAUAAACCUGUUGUAAAAUG